CUUUAAAAUAAGAUUCUGCCUCCUAUCUUCUACUUGAAUGUUUCAAAUGACCAGACGAGAGCAGGGAGACCUCUCUAUUCCAUGUGGAAGUUCUAAGAGGUAGGAGAGUAGCAAAAUGAAUACGACAGUGCGGCAACUCUAAUGAAAUCUACAUUUUUCCCAUUAUCAAUCUACAGGUUUCAAUAGAAUUAGAGCAAUAGCAUUUUUUUUUCCAGCCAAAACUGAAAUUAGAAAGUUUUUCCACAUCUGGUAAUUAAAAGAAAACAAAACCCA
rnacentral:lncRNA from 1 species